AGAGACCGAUAGCAACCACGUGAUCAGUAAAAAUCGUGUAUUUUCACGUGAAAUUAUUUUUCGGAAUUCCGUACAUCGCCAUAGAGUAGUUGAAAAACAAAAAGGGGUUCCGAAAGUACAAGUUGCUGUGACUGAAUCGAUGAUUGAGAGGGUCGUCUCGACGAAAGAUAUAGAAAUUUGGCCAUAGUUUAGAUUAGGAAUACGUCAAUGUAAUAAUAGUGGACUAAAUGUUUCGUCCGUGCAGAAUGGCACUUUUUACCUCACGAAAUUCACCACCAUGCAUAGCUGCGCUACGUAAACAAAGUUGUUGAUGUAGCGUGAUCGUGGUGUCCGAGUGCUGCGAGUUUCAAUACUGUUUAUGUAGUCAUUGAGAGUUUAAACAAAGUUUCUUCUGAGAAGAGGAAUUCGAUGGAUGCAUUCAACGUGGACAACGAAAUCAUAAUUUCGUUUGCAUCAUCCUAAGGACAAGUGCAAGUUGAAAUGGGCUUCCAGCCAACAACUUCAACAGCAAUUUGCCAUGAAAAUCAGCAAGAAAGGUACUUCAUUUACAUUGAUGAUGUCAUAUCCCCUGGACCCCACAACUUCACAGGUUACAGAGAAAAUUCAAGAACUUCUGCAAAAUGUGGGACUUGGAUAGAAUCAAUAAUGUAUUUGUGAGCCCAGAGCAAUGGAUAUAUUGUGCAACAUACUAAAGUGUGAAUUUAAUGGAAAACAAGUACAUGUACUCAUGUAUUACAUGUCUUUUUUAAAGACAAUAAUAUUGUAUAAAUAUAGAGGAAGUGUCAUUGUUGAUUAUUCUAAGUUUUUGAUAUAUCAAAAUCAGUAAACAUUUCUAAAUGAAAAUAAAAUACCAAUUUUAUAACUUUAAU